GAGAAAUUAGGAACAUAUAUGGGUGCUAUUUUUCAAAGCAGUAAUAUUAGUAUUAAAUCUGCUCCUUUUCCAGCUUAUAUUGUCAAUCUAACCAUCCUUAUCCCCAAUCCCCCACCUUCUCUCUGUGUGUGGUGUGAGGGCGUCGGCACGAGGUUGUUGACCAGACGGAGGGCGGCGGCCAUGCUCGCCUCUCAAUCUCAUCUUACGGCGAGGCCAUAUAUACCGUGUAAAAAAAAAAGAAUUCCGGAAACAAGGAUCUGAGAGAACACUAGAAGAAGAAGAUGACAUGCACGGGGAGGGGAACCGCAUACCUUACUGACGAUGCCAGGAAGAGGAGGAGAUUAUUCAGUGGUAGUGGUAGAAUCUGGAAUGCGAGGAGAGCGAGAAGACGCCUCUGUUUAUAUAGGAGUAUGGGCCAAUACCAAGGGCAAGCAGGAGCCUGGACGUUAACAUUAGCAGAAGCACAAAGAGAAUUAUUAGCAGUCUGAUUUGACGAUAAUCUCCCUGGUUUGGCUGCGCCGCGUUUCCUGGGCACCGCAUCACAACACCCACCAAGAGCAUAUCCAUCUGACUCAUCCCUGACUUUUCUUCGUGCAAUCAUUCUUGUGUUUUUUUGGCUUGGUUUGAGGCAGAUCUAGUAUAGGAGCAAUAUGGUAAGCUGUUACACUUAUACAUGACUAAUUGAAGGCCGC